rnacentral:rRNA from 1 species
GACGAACGCUGGCGGCGUGCUUAACACAUGCAAGUCGAACGGAACGGCCCUUCGGGGUACCCGAGUGGCGAAUGGGUGAGUAACACGUGGGUGAUCUGCCCUGCACUUUGGGAUAAGCCUGUGCAACUGGGUCUAAUACCGAAUAGGCCCACGCUCUUCAUGGUUUGUGGUGGACAGCAUUUGCGGUGUGGGUUGGGCCCGGGGCCUCUCAGCUUGUUGGUGGGGUAAUGGUCUACCAAGGCGACGAGAGGCAGCCGGCCUGGGAGGGUGACCGGCCACACUGGAAUGGGAAUAAGGCACGGACUCGAACGGGAGGGAGGGGAGGAGAGGAGUAUACAAUAGGAGCGAGGAAGGUGUGACCAAGCAACGUGGGGGAUGACAGCAAGGGGGUAGGAAACCUAUGUCAUUAGGGACGAGACGCAAGUGACAGUACCGAGAGAAGAAGCACCGGCCAACUACGUG